rnacentral:rRNA from 1 species
GACGAACGCUGGCGGCGUGCUUAACACAUGCAAGUCGAACGGAAAGGCCCUGCUUUUGUGGGGUGCUCGAGUGGCGAACGGGUGAGUAACACGUGAGUAACCUGCCCUUGACUUUGGGAUAACUUCAGGAAACUGGGGCUAAUACCGGAUAGGAGCUCCUGCUGCAUGGUGGGGGUUGGAAAGUUUCGGCGGUUGGGGAUGGACUCGCGGCUUAUCAGCUUGUUGGUGGGGUAGUGGCUUACCAAGGCUUUGACGGGUAGCCGGCCUGAGAGGGUGACCGGCCACAUUGGGACUGAGAUACGGCCCAGACUCAUACGGGAGGCAGCAGUGGGGAAUAUUGCACAAUGGGCGGAAGCCUGAUGCAGCAACGCCGCGUGCGGGAUGACGGCCUUCGGGUUGUAAACCGCUUUCGCCUGUGACGAAGCGUGAGUGACGGUAAUGGGUAAAGAAGCACCGGCUAACUACGUG